rnacentral:rRNA from 1 species
UACGUAGGGUGCGAGCGUUGUCCGGAAUUAUUGGGCGUAAAGGGCUCGUAGGCGGUCUGUUACGUCGGGUGUGAAAACUCAGGGCUCAACCCUGAGCCUGCUUCCGAUACGGGCAGACUAGAGGUAUGCAGGGGAGAAUGGAAUUCCUGGUGUAGCGGUGAAAUGCGCAGAUAUCAGGAGGAACACCGGUGGCGAAGGCGGUUCUCUGGGCAUUACCUGACGCUGAGGAGCGAAAGUGUGGGGAGCGAACAGG